rnacentral:rRNA from 1 species
ACGAACGCUAGCGACGUGCCUAAGAAAUGCAAGUCGAGCGAGAUCUAGGCUUCGGCCAAAGGUCUAGCGGCGAACGGUCGCGUAACACGUAAGCAACCUGCCCUAAAGUUGGGGAUAGCCCUCCGAAAGGGGGAUUAAUACCGGAUGUGGACAAUUCUUCGCAUGUAGGAUUGUCUAAAGCAGCAAUGCGCUUUAGGAUGGGCUUGCGGCCUAUCAGCUAGUUGGUGUGGGUAAUGGCUCACCAAGGCGACGACGGGUAGCUGGUCUGAGAGGAUGGUCAGCCGGACUGGGACUGAGACACGGCCCAGACUCCUACGGGGGGCAGCAAUUAGGAAUCUUGCGCAAUGGGCGAAAGCCUGACGCAGCGACGUCGCGUGACUGAUGAAGUCUUUCGGGAUGUAAAGGUCUUUUCUGGGGGAAGAAGGAUGUGACGGUACCCCAGGAAUAAGCCCCGGCUAACUACGU